UACAGAGGGGGCAAGCGUUAUUCGGAAUUAUUGGGCGUAAAGGGCGCGUAGGCGGUGUGUCAAGUCAAGGCGGUGAAAGCCCCCGGGCUCAACCUGGGAACCGCGCUUGAGACUGGCACGCUCGAGUUCGGGAGAGGAUGGUGGAAUUCCCAGUGUAGAGGUGAAAUUCGUAGAUAUUGGGAAGAACACCGAUGGCGAAGGCAGCCAUCUGGACCGACACUGACGCUGAGGCGCGAAAAGCGUGGGGAGCAAACAGG
rnacentral:rRNA from 1 species